AAUUUCUCGAUAAGCGCAAUAAUUAAUCAAUCUUUUUAGCUAAGCACGUGUGACUGAAAUGUGAAAAAGUUUCUAAAUAUGAAAAAUAUUUUUAUCUACUUGACAACUUUUACAAGUAAAGAUUUGGUAGCAUUUCAAUUAUCAAAGAUGGUUAAUAUCUGGCAUUAGGUGCCUAUCCAACAUGUCGCUUAGCAUUAGUGGAACUUCUGCACCGUUACAUUCUAACACUAUCAUCUGACAAAAAUAAAAUUUUAUAGAAAGAAUCAAGGUAUCAACAUUAUAAAAUGAACUGAAAAAAAUUAUAGGAAAGAAAUCUGAUAGAAUAAAAAGAAAUAAGAAAAGGAAAACAAAUAGAUAUUUAUAGAAAAAGUGAAAAAAGAAAAAUAGAAGAAAAAAAAUGAGAAGAUCAGAGGAGAGGAAACUAUGUAGAGAGAACUUGGUUGCGUGUAAACAGCGGAAGUUACUUUCAGGGGAUAAAGAGAGACUGGGGUCGGACAUCGAUCUGGUAGUUAAGUUCAGGGCUCUCAAGGGACUCGUUGCUACCUUCGCAGCUUCGUCUCCUCCUCUUGCUUUAUUUGCACCACUCUUUGUGUGUAUUCUGCAGAUACAUGUUGGCAUCGGUAUCGUUUCCUUGCCAUUCGCAUAAACCGCAUUACACGUUUUUACAUUCGUAUUUAUGUACAAUUUAACGAGAGCCAUUCGAGCGACCGUCGCGUUGCUCGAGAUGAAACGAAAAAUUUUUCUAUCUCGAAGAAAUCGCAAACAAAUCGAAAGAUCGUAAAUGUUAUUACUAUUCUGCGUUACUAUUCUAUAGAUUUAAUCGUAUUUCAUGAUAGUAUCUCGAUAAAUUUUAAUAGAAUUUUAA